rnacentral:rRNA from 1 species
CCCUACGGGGGGCAGCAGUGAGGAAUAUUGGUCAAUGGGCGGGAGCCUGAACCAGCCAAGUCGCGUGAGGGAAGAAGGUACUGAGUAUUGUAAACCUCUUUUGCCAGGGGACAAAGGCGGCCACGGGUGGCCGUAAGAGGGUACCUGGAGAAAAAGCAUCGGCUAACUCCGUGCCAGCAGCCGCGGUAAUACGGAGGAUGCGAGCGUUAUCCGGAUUUAUUGGGUUUAAAGGGUGCGCAGGCGGAGGCACAAGUCAGCGGUAAAAUCGCGGGGCUCAACCCCGCUCCGCCGUUGAAACUGUGUCC